AUACGUAGGGGGCAAGCGUUAUCCGGAUUUACUGGGUGUAAAGGGAGCGUAGACGGCCGUGCAAGUCUGAUGUGAAAGGCUGGGGCUCAACCCCGGGACUGCAUUGGAAACUGUAUGGCUGGAGUGCCGGAGAGGUAAGCGGAAUUCCUAGUGUAGCGGUGAAAUGCGUAGAUAUUAGGAGGAACACCAGUGGCGAAGGCGGCUUACUGGACGGUAACUGACGUUGAGGCUCGAAAGCGUGGGGAGC
rnacentral:rRNA from 1 species